rnacentral:rRNA from 1 species
AUUGAACGCUGGCGGCAUGCCUUACACAUGCAAGUCGAACGGCAGCACGGGUGCUUGCACCUGGUGGCGAGUGGCGAACGGGUGAGUAAUACAUCGGAACAUGUCCUGGAGGGGGGGAUAGCCCGGCGAAAGCCGGAUUAAUACCGCAUACGAUCUACGGAUGAAAGCGGGGGACCUUCGGGCCUCGCGCUAUAGGGUUGGCCGAUGGCGGAUUAGCUAGUUGGUGGGGUAAAGGCCUACCAAGGCGACGAUCAGUAGCUGGUCUGAGAGGACGACCAGCCACACUGGGACUGAGACACGGCCCAGACUCCUACGGGAGGCAGCAGUGGGGAAUUUUGGACAAUGGGCGAAAGCCUGAUCCAGCAAUGCCGCGUGUGUGAAGAAGGCCUUCGGGUUGUAAAGCACUUUUGUCCGGAAAGAAAUCCUUGGCCCUAAUACGGUCGGGGGAUGACGUUACCGGAAGAAUAAGCACCGGCUAACUACGUG